rnacentral:rRNA from 1 species
ACGAACGCUGGCGGCGUGCUUAACACCUGCAAGUCGAACGGAAAGGCCCUGCUUUUGUGGGGUGCUCGAGUGGCGAACGGGUGAGUAACACGUGAGUAACCUGCCCUUGACUUUGGGAUAACUUCAGGAAACUGGGGCUAAUACCGGAUAGGAGCUCCUGCUGCAUGGUGGGGGUUGGAAAGUUUCGGCGGUUGGGGAUGGACUCGCGGCUUAUCAGCUUGUUGGUGGGGUAGUGGCUUACCAAGGCUUUGACGGGUAGCCGGCCUGAGAGGGUGACCGGCCACAUUGGGACUGAGAUACGGCCCAGACUCCUACGGGAGGCAGCAGUGGGGAAUAUUGCACAAUGGGCGGAAGCCUGAUGCAGCAACGCCGCGUGCGGGAUGACGGCCUUCGGGUUGUAAACCGCUUUCGCCUGUGACGAAGCGUGAGUGACGGUAAUGGGUAAAGAAGCACCGGCUAACCACGUG